AAUUUGCGUGAAAAAAGUGUCCGCCCUUCAGCGCUUCUGGUAUUUGUUCCUGUUCACAAAGGUUGUCCCAGGCGAAUACCUCACAGGAAAUGGCAAGCGGAUAUUAUUAAAAAAGAGUGUCCGCCCUUCACCGAAAUUGUUCCAGACGAAUACCUCGCAGGAAAGUAAAGCUCGAUUUUAAUCUCUGCGCUCCUGAUACACUAAUUAAUUGUAACCAUUCCCUUCUAAUGUCAAGAAAAUAUAUGAAAAAACAAUUUCCGCUCUUCAGCACUUCUGGUUCUUUUCUACCGAAAUUGUACCAGGCGAAUGCCUCAUAGGAAAUGUGAAGCAUUUAUGAGAACACCCUGUCCGCCUUUUUGCGCUCCAGAGACAAUUUGGUUCUUUUUCGCCGAAAUCGUACCAGGCAGGAAGCGUUAAGAGAUAUAUGAAAGAGUGUGCGCCCUAUAGCGCUCCUGAUACAAUUAGUUAUUUUCCACCGAGGUUUUGUCAGACAGAGGCAAAUAUUGACAAGAGAUGUCAAGAAAACAGUGUGCGCCCUUCUACGCUUCUGAUGCCAUUGGUUAUCUUUCACCGAAAUUGUGCCAAACAGAGAAAUAUUCACAGAGAAUCUCAAGAAUAUGUGAAAACAUAGUGUCCAUGCUCUUGAUACAAUUAGUUCUUUUUCACCGAAAUUGAACCACACGAUUAUUAUUAUGCUAAUAAUACCUCACAGAAAAGUAAUAAUCGAUUUUAAUUUCUGCACUCCUGAUACACUUCGCUUUUGGUGUCCCAUGAAUUUACAAGAAUACUGUGUCCUCCUGCGCGUUUGAUACCAUCAGUUCAUACAACCGAAAUUGUACCUGGGUAAUACCUCACAAAAUUGAUAUUAAUAUCUGCGCUCCUGAUAUAACGGAAUUAAUUUUAGACAAAGCAAGCAAUACCUAAUUUUACUUAUUUGUGACUAGCAAUAAUUAGGAAAGUACAAAUUCCACGUACAAACAUUGUAAAUGAUUGCACAACCCAGAUUAAGUGUUUACCUAAGAUAAAGGUAGCCUUAAUUGAAGGAAAUUUUGCACAACGUAUUUUAAUACUUUUCAAGGUUUCAAUGGGGGCUCCUAAUUUUCAAUUUAUGUCAGAUCCGUAUAAGACCAUAAAAUUCUUCGGAUUCUUACCGUUCGUUGAAUUCAUCAAAUUUCUUCAAAUUCUUCUAAUUCAUGGGAUUUUGGAGGUCACUUGGAUCCUUAACUUAUUCAAGGUCCUUUCUUUAAUUGUUGUUUUUGCAUUCUUCAUAUGCUAUUUUUCAAACCCUCCGGAUUCUUCAAAACCAUAAAGAAUCUUGAAAUCUUCCGAUCUUCAAAUUGCUUUAAUGUAAUCUCUGCGCUCCUGAUACAAUUCCUUUCCCGCGUCGAGAAUAUCUCCAAAAAACCAGCGUCAGCCCUUCAGCGCUCCUGAUACGAGUACAAUCAGUUCUCUUUCACCGCAAUUGUACCAUGAGAGUAUUACGUAGAAAAGUAUUUGCUAAUUGAUUAUAAUCUCUGCUCUCCACAUACAAUUCCUUUUUAGUGCUGGAAGAAUUUGCGAGAAAACUCGCUCCUGAUAACAGUAGAUCUUUUAAUCGCAAUUGUAACAGACUAGUACCUCACAAGAAAGCAAUAAUCGAUUUUAGUUUCUGUGCUCCUGAUACACUUUUCUAAUUUCUAGUACAAUAUGCGAGAAGUCUGUGUGAGCACUCCUACGCAUCUGACACCAUUAGUUCAAUUCAACCGAAAUUGUACCAGGUGAAUAAAUCCCAGGAAAGUAAUUGCUAAUUGAUUUUAGUUUCUGCGCUCUUCAUACAAUUCCUUUCUAGUGCUAGAAGAAUUUGUGAGAAAACGCGCUCCUGAUAACAGUAGAUUUUUUAUUCGCAAUUGUAACAGGCCAGUAUCGCACAAGAGAGCAAUAAUCGAUUUUAAUUUCUGUGCUCCUGAUACACUUCGUUUCUAGUAUCCGAAGAAUAUGCGAGAAAACUGUGAGCACUCCUACGCACCUGAUAUCAUUAGUUGAAUUCAACCGAAAUUUUACCAGGUGAAUAACUCCCAGGAAAAUUGGUUUUAGUUUCUGCGCUCUUCAUACAAUUCCUUUCUAGUGCUAGAAGAAUUGGCCAUAUAACUAUAAAUUCACAGGAAAGUAGUUUUCUAAUUGACUUUAAUUUCUGGACUCCCGAUAUAAUUAAUUUCUACAGUGUGAAAUUGUCCCAGACUAAUAUUACUUCACAGGCUGAUUUUCAUUUCUACGCUCCUGGUACAAUUCCUGUCUAAUGCCAGGAGAAUAUACGAAAAAGAGUGUCCGCUCUUCAGCGCUCCCCAGACAAUUUAUUCUUUUUUACCGCAAUUGUACCAAACUAAUACCCCUCAGGAAAGACUAAUCGAUUUUAAUUCCUGCGCUUC